CACACCCAAAACACUGCGCCCUUCACACAUACAAUGCGUCCAAACACAUACGUAUAUAUGUGUUUGGACGUAUUGUAUGUGUGAAGGGCGCAGUGUGUAUGUGUGAA